CAGGACUUUGGCAGGAAGGCAGGCUGGGAUCUUCCUGUAAAUCCAGCUUUCAAAACUGGUCCCCAUGGGAGGCCUUUGGAUGCCUUAGGAUACUUUUGUGAUCCAGUUUCUGAGAAAGGGUAUGUGGCAGGGCAGGAGGAUGUCACCUGGAACCACUUAGGAUAUUUUUUCAGGCCUCAGCUCAAAUGUCACCUCUGCAGGAAGGCUCCUGCCUCUGAAUUAUAUUUCUCUAUUGAUAUGUUGCAUAGAUCAAUCACUGGAUUUUAUUUAUUUAUUUACUACCCUCUCCCAACUAGGAUAUAAUCUUCAUGAGGUAGAGCCUUCAUCUCUCUUUUGUCAGCAUAUUGCACCUGCCUAGGAGACAGUUGGCACGUGGUGAAUGCCUCAUAAACAUUUGCCGAUGGAUUGAUCUGAUGAAUGAAUGAGGGAGUAACUGAAUCCAUGAACGAGCAGAGAAGAUGGUGAGAAACAGUGAGAAACAAUGGACAAGAGCAUGCCUGCUUGAGGUGCCUAGAAUCCUGGCUGGACCCAAAACACUGCAGACUACUUGGUUUCUGUCCAAGGACAGCCCCAAUGGCCUGGACAGGUGUUCAUAUCUCAGAGAGCAAACUUCCUCUUCUCCGUCUGACAUUUUCCAAUGUGUUGAUACGAACGUACCCAGUGGAGUGAUUCUGCUGGAGAUGGUGCCACUCACGGCUCCAACCUGA
ensembl:lncRNA